CAGGCUUAGCCAUACGACAGAUCAUUAGCAUUCUCAGCUUGGACAAUGGAACAGCAUAAAGCUGCCGCCGUUGCAGAAGCUGUGCCCCAAUACCAUCGACAACACUUGGAAGCAAAGGCAUCUAGUUAUUCAAUACAAAGAACAAGCUAAGAUAAUUUUCCUCCCACAUAGAAUAUUCCAAACAAAAUAAAAUGAGAAAAGCUUGAAACUAAAAUAGGAUGCACUAAAGAAAUGCACACAGUUAAUCUGAAUCAAACUCAAUAAAAAGAAUUAAAAAAUAUAAAAAAAAAAGUAGUCAUGAACAUACAGCCAUCUAAAACCACUUAAUAAAAAUUUGCCAUAUUCUCUAAAUACUGUAUCAUUCAUAAUUCAGAUCAAGGGUCAUCAAAAUUAUUGCACCACACAGUAUAAUCUCUUUUAUAUUAGGAAACAAAUAAAUUCAAAGACAACGAACUUCUGUCGUUUGCCAUUUCACGAAAAAAUAAUUAGCUCAUACCUGAAUUCCUUUAUUUUAGUAAGAAACAAAAAUGAGUAUAUUGAUAAAAAGAGAAAAGGUACAGAUCUUGACCAGAUAUAUCCACAUCGGUUACAAAAACACCGUACAAAGAGGAUUUAAAACAACCAAAAAAGGAACAUAUCAAUCAUUCUGAGAAUUACCAAAAAUGUAAGACACAACAAGCAAGAUGAUAAGAAAGGAAGAUGUGUAGUUAAUUUUUGGAAACCAAUACCAAAAGCGGAGAAGAAUAAUCACUCUAUAUCACAACUGUUUGAUAUAAAUUUAUUAAAUUUAUUCCACCUUCACAAACUAGCAUAGAGAUAUAAAUUUCUUCCCUGUGGACAUGACUACUGAAUCUUAUGGAACAUUUUUCUUCUGUAUGGCACAUUUACGAAAUCUGCUUCUUUGGAUACAGAAUUUUUUGAAGAAAGGGAACUACAACUUAACUAUUUCCUAACUUUGUAAAGCAAAUCACCGAAGUUAAAUUAGCAGCGAAAACCAAGCAUACCGGUAGUCCCAUCAUGUUUGCUGUCACAGCAGGAUUUUCCAGAUUAUUGUGCGCAUCAAAAAGCUCCAAAACAAAAGAGUUCCAAUAAUCCAAGCAAACCUGCUCAUAAAUGUGUCCGGCAAGUACAGAUCAUGAAAUAAGUUCAACAAUUCAAAUAUUCAAUCCCUAGUCAAGAAGCAAAGAAAAAUAGUUCUAUGGAGGUAACUUAUUAAAAACCACCACACCUUAAAAACCUCUGUUUCAUCCACAUAUGAUAUAUUAAUGAGAUAUUCAAGACCCAUCAGCAAUGCACUUAUAUUUUCUUGAGUGGAUUCGAGCACUCUGAUAUGAAACUGCACCAAGAGAAUAACAUCAGAUAGAUAAUUAGUUAUCAUAGAGUUUAUAUGCAAGCAAAAUGAAAAUGUAUUGUGUGUUUAAAUGCAUAUCAGUAAACCCACAAAUAUACAAAUUGUGUGUUUGAAAACCUGUAUCAUUAUUUAAAAUCUCCCAACAGUACUCAGGUUCUUAUGAAAAGCACAAGGUGCAGUUGGUUAUCCUUAAAAUGUUUUUCUCUAAUCUGUGAUAAUUAAAACAUUGAAGGGGGGAGAGAGGGAGAGGGUUGGUGUGUUUCUUUUUUUUUGGGUUGAAUGAUAUAACAAGCACAAUCAGAAAAUGGAAAGAAAUAAGGAUUGAUGACUAAAAAGGUCAAUAGAUAAAUCUAAAAUAGACAUGAUAGCGUGGAACUAACAAAAUAUACUUCAACUGUAUUAAUAGAAUGGUUAAGCAUGUACGGUACUUAACAUGUAAUUUUGCUCUGGAUAGUUACUGCAUCUGCAUUGGAGCAGUUCAGUAUCUAGUUGUAUAUUCUCAGGUUGUAUCAUGUUUCAGUCAUAAAAAAGAUACUCAUCAUAUUAUUUUCUUUUAUUAUUAAAAGUUUCUCUGCCAGCAUAAAAAUCUACCAACGGACAAUUAAAAAAGUCAAUGACUGUUUACAAGGGUGGUCUAAGUGACCAUCCAUUCACAAACAAAAAUCAUUAGCAUUCAUCAGAUUGCUCUAAUCAAUGCAAUGAAAAAUCAUUCUUAAGUUUCAUAUAUAAAUAAAUAAAUACCAAUGAAAAAGAGUGCCAAAUUUUGAAUAAAUGCCUGAAGAAAUAACAUAAAAUACAUUAGCCCAUAAAUUGUAAAAUAAACAUUGUGCUUCACUAUUGCCAUGAGCAAUGAGAUAUUACCUGUUCCUCACUAUUGCCAUGAGCAUAAGCCUCAGGGAUGUUUGUAGUUGGAGGAAGAAUAGUCUAACAAUGUAAGAAAAAAGAAAUUAAAUAUGGACAUAAAAUAUGAAAUCCAAACAGUGACACACUUAAGUUUACAAUCACAUGCUUCCAGUUACUUCUCAAAAACGAAAAAAAAAAGGAUUACCAAAAGAAAAAUCUACUGAAAAUAUAAUUAUCAUAAAUAUAAAGUAAAUGUAAGAACAAUGUAUUAACACACCUGUAACUGAACCAUGAAUACAUUAUACAUGUUAACAUACUGCACAUUAUAGAAGUCCCCAAAAUUAAGGGCUCCAACCUGCCAACAUCAUAAUGAAAUAAAUAAACAGUUCAUGCCAGGCAUUUCAAAGUAAAAGACAAAUAUUCUUUUAGCUCAGAUACAAAAUAAGUGUACAAACACACCCGCACACACACACACAUAUAUAUAUAAGGGACAAGAAGUCCGCAAAAAAAAAAAGUCCAAAAAAUACGAUUUCACAAUAAAUUGCAAUUUGUAAAACAGUGUACCUCCGUCAAACAUUGCAGAGUAAGAUUUCUAUAAGAAGGCAUGGGAAAGAAUUUCAGCAGUGUUUCCAGCUGCAAGGCACAAAAAAGAAGACAGAGCAUGAAAAUUGAGAACUCACAUCAAUUACAACAGAAACUACAUUCUCUACUUAAAUCAAUAACAACAAAUCAGGAGAAAAUACAUACUAAUGGGGACUCAAAAAUAUAGCCCAAGGGAAUCCAUGACAGGAAUGCAUGCAGUGUGGACAGUGUCGCCCUUAUGAGAUCAGUUCUUUGAGAUGCGGAUAGUACAUAUAAGCAUAACUCAUGAAUGAGCUGAAACUCACUGUAUUAUAUAUAAAAAAAAUCAUAAGAUAAAUAAUGUAAAUUGAAAAGAGAAAGAUGUCAAUUAAAAAUUAAAACAGAGGCUCAGCAAUGAAUAUUUAGAAAUACCAAGAAUCCAGCGCGUGUAAAACAAUAACCAGAUUAUAAGUUCUUCACAGCAUAUAGUGGUAAUGGCAGUUUACUAAACACACUCAAACUAUGUACUCCCUCUCUGUAUUUGAAAAAUUCAAAAUUAAGCAGCAGAAAAAGAAAAGGGCCCUGCAAACUGUUAUUAUUAUUAAACAUAAAAACAAUUCCCUCAACAAUCUGUACUUCUGAGAUUCAAAAGAAGCAUAAAGGUAAUAAAAGUACUUAAGAUGUCAUUUCAACCAGGAAUACAUGGUGUCCAAUAAAAUUAACUGAAAAUUGAGGAGUAAUUUCACUUAUUUUAGCUAGAGUUGAAUAACAAACUAGAAGCAACUUAGUGCAAGAAGAUGGUAUUUAGAAUAUCCUGAAGAUCUGUGGAGAUCUCAAAACUUGCAAAUACAUCAAGAGACUUGCCUGUUUAAUGAUUGCUUAAGCUCUUUGAUCUUCUGCUGAGUCAUUUCCCCUCUUGAAAAAUCAAAAACUUCUUCGCUUAAAAGCUGACAUUAAAAGGAAUCACAUGUUACUUACAUUCACCAAAACCUUACACUGCAAAAGAGCAAUGCAAGAACACACAUACCUUGAGAAUAGCCAUGCAAUUCUCACAAAUGGUUUCACUAGUUUUUGCUGCUGCAACAAGAUCAGGAAUAAAGCUUCGCCACCGUGCAGGCCACUCAUGCUUCAAAAUCUGUAAUACCAGUAAGAAUAAGCAUUAUCACAUGCCAUGCUACAGUAUAAAUGCGUGCUCUGAACAAUUUUUAAAAAAUCAUACCAGAAAAAGAGAUUCGGAAAACACGUGUAAUUUAUAGGAAAAUAAAUGUGCAAUCAAUAAGAUAUCAUCAGCACAACAUUCAUUCUACUAAUUUAUUUUACAGAGAGUCAAGCUGGGAAUACCUGAACCAAUAUGAUAUUCAGCUUGUUGACGUACAGCCUUUCUUCUCGAAAAGAGGUCUCAUUACUUGAUAGCUAUGUAAGCGUGACCAAAGUAUAGGCAUUGUCAAAAAAAAAUGAUAAAAUAUAUAAAACAUUUUCUUAGCCCAUCUCAUGAAGAAAAUACAGAUACCUGUACAAUGACUUCAGAAAUGUAAUUUUUCAUUCCAUCCCGCUGUUCAACAGGUAAUGCGUUCCACCUAUAUUUAAUAACACCUUCGAGAACCUGCAUACCAUAUACGCAGAGAAAAUGAAAAGUCUACCUAACACCAGCACCUCAAUAAUGAUUAUCGAUAUUUAAUAACAUGUUCAAAAACUAAUAAGAAGAUCAAAUUUAAUAAGAAUCAGUUAGUAAUGUAAAUUGUUGUUGGUGAAUCAGUAAUGUAAAUUGUUGAUGGUGAUGGAUAUUAUCCAUCUAGAUCUUGUUCUUCUUCCCUUUUUCUAACAGUGAACAAGCUAUGCACAAAGAAAGCAGAAAUCAAGGAUCAAACUAACCACAGAAGUAAAAAGAACAAGGUUCUGUCAAAAUAACAUCAGUAAUGUUAUAGAAAGCAUAUUCUGCAUCACAUCUCCAAGUUAUAUAGUAUGAAAAGAAAAGGCACUUCUCGAAACUCUUAGGUAAAAAAUGACCAAAGAGAUGUCCCAAAAAUUUUAAUUUGUCCCUACAAUACUAAGUAUCCUCCAGUAUAAAGUCUACAUAAGAUCUUGUGUUUCUCUCAAUCUGACUAGCACAGCCCACAAUAACCAGCUUUUUUAUUACUCCAAAAAGCAGAGAAUGUUUCGGUAAAGAGAAAGCAGCAAAAGAAAAUACAAAUUGAAAAAAAAAAAAAAAACAGCGUAACUGUAAAAAAGUAUAACUACUGUGACUAACAGUUCUGAGCAAAGAUAACAAACAUCUAUGCAUUUUCAAAUAAGGGGAAAAAUUAAUAAUUGUGAAAACAGAGAGCUGACUAACUUGCUUUUAUACGCUAUACUAUUGCACUAAGUGUAGAUAACAAUGAACAUAAAUGUUGUCACUGACCUGCAAGGCGAAAAACUUGGUAUUGAGGUUUUUUGAAUUUUGCAGGAUGUGCACAACUUGGAGCCACAUAUCAGGAUUAUUUUGCAAGUCCCGCAAGAUCUGAUCUGCAGCUGUUCUCUACAUCACCAACAAAAAUAGAAACAAACAAUGAGAUAAAACCCCAAUGCACAGUUAAACAGGAAACCACCACUUACCACAAAUAAAGCUAGUAAUUUAACGAAUAGAAUUACAAAAUGUGGAAAUGAGACAUCAAACAUAUUUCCUUCAAUUCCAUAAAAUAAUUACCCAAAUUUUAUCUAAUUAAAUGAAUUAAUUUAAUUAAAGAUAUUACCAAUUCUUAAGAUGUUUUCUAUUAAUACAUGUUUUACUUUAACGAAGCAGAAAGAACUCAAAUAUCAGUUUGCCCAACAAAUAAACAUGCUGUAAACUAACGCAUAAGCAACUAAAACCUAAAUCUCGUGAAACCACCAAUUUGUUAGCCAAGAAAUCAAAGAAAAUGAAUAGACAGGAAUGAAACAAUGAAGACAAUGAAACCCAUAUUUCCUGACAGAAAAGUCAACUUAACUAGUAGACAUACUCUCACACAAUCCUCUGCACUUCCUUCAUUUUCCAAACUACCAGGAAAAUAAUAAAAAUUCCAAGUACAGUAAAAGUCAAGAAAUUUCAACCUUAUUACAAAUAAUAAAAUUUACCCUAUCUUCCUACACUUUGAUGUGGACCAAACAGAAUAUCUUGAGAAUUGCAAGUUAGCUUAUUGAGAACUCCAACCCUCAAUUUUUUUCCUGAAAUGAUCGAGGUGAAUAAAAACCCUGAGUCUAUAAGUCUCAAGGGCAUUGCACCAAAGAAUCUAAAACUCAUUUUCUCAUAAUUUAUAAUAAACAAAUCCAAAUCGUCAAAGCUAAAGAAGGCUUAGCGUCCUAAACCCCGAGUUUUGGCAUUUGCCUAUUUAUUGCCUCACCAUUUUCAAAACCAAACAAACAGAACCAGCAGUGACCGGAGAAAAAUAGUUAUGAAAGUUAGGUGGUAUGCUCGCUAAACCCUAAUGUUCAAAUGUCACUCACUCUCUCAAGAACCAGAGAUCACAAUUUCUCUUAGUAUUGACUUAGCCAAUGAAACCCUAAAAGAAUACACAUGUCGAAAACGCCCUCAUUCUCCCGCAACUCGGGAACCGAGCAGAAACUAAAAAGAGAGAAAACCAAAAAGUCACGUGAAAACCCUCUUAUAAUCGUAUUGAAGUCAAAUAGUUUAGACGAACAGAGUGAUAUUCCGUUACUUUCUCGGGAAACAAAUAGAAAAGUAGUAUGAUGAGAGAGAAGAGGAAAGGCAACAGACCUCUUCCUUAGAUCCGGUGCCAUAGAAGGCAGCAACAGUGGCGUCAAGCAACGCGACGUCCAUCGGCUGGCUUAAAUCUCGGAGCUUCUCAGCCGCCAUAUCUGAAACCUCAGACACGGCACUACCACACUGUCUCCGAAAAGGAACACUAAUAAAACCCUAGAUAGUGUACGGUCCAAACCCUAAGAGAGAGAAAAAGGUAAAGAUUUGAUUUUCUAGAGAGAGAGUUGAGGGAAAAAGAUUAGAUGAGAGUGUUGUGUAAACUUUAAAUAGAGGGAGCGGAGUCGAAGGAUAUAUUAAAAGACAGCUUAAAAUCGAAGCAGAGAGGGAGAGAAAGAGACUUUGAAAUGUGUUUUUCUCCCCUUUUUUUAAUUUUUAUUUUUAAUCAUUUUUUCACUUAAUUAAUUCGGAAAAAAGAGAGAGAGAGAGAGAGAAAAACAGAGAUUUUAGGGCCCUAGAAUUUACAAGGGUUUGGGAGAAGGAGGGUGGAGGCUUUUUGGUGCUAAAAUUUAAUUUAUUGAUUUUUUAUAAAAUUCAAUUUAAUUAAUUUAAUAAAAAUGUAAUUAAGUAAGUAAUUAAGGCGCGCGUACCGUGACUCUAGAAUAAACCUUGGUCAUUGGUGUAUUGGGUGGGGCCAACGGCCGUGAUUCUUGAACGACGUCGCUUGUAAUUAAUGACUUGUGCGAGAGAACAGAGAUGUGAAAAUCAGUUGUCUUCCUCGUCACCACAUGAUUUGCCACCUUUUUACCAUUUCAGUUCGUAUUCGUUCUUAUUAAAGACAAUUUUUCAGAUAGCUUAAGAAAAAUAUCAAUUUGUUAAUAUUCAUCAAUAAAGAAAAAAAAUUUAAUAAAUCUAUAUAUUUAUAUAAAAUUGGGAUUACAAGAGGUGAUGUAGCAUCACUAUUUCUCAUCUUUGUAUAUUCUCUAUUAUCUAAUAAAUAAAUAAAAUUUCUUUUAAAUUUGUCUUUUUAUCUUCUCAUAAUUAAUUUGACUGUUAUUACACAAUUAAUCUGUAACAAUUCAUCAAAAGACCCAUUAUCUUCUUUAAUUGAAAUCUUCUUGAUCAUAAAUCUAUAUAUUAGAGGUAUAUAUAGUUUUUAUAAUGGAAAAUCAAAGUCUUUCACAAGCCUAGCUGAUGUCUCCUCUGCUUCAUUUAUCUAUCUAUCUAUAUAAUUAUAUAAAGUUGGGAUUAUAAAAAGUGAUGUGGCAUCGCCAUUUCUCAUCUUUGUAUAUUCUUUAUUAUUUAAUAAAUAAAUAAAUAAAUAAUUUUUCUUUCAAAUUUACCUUUUUAUCUUCUCAUAAUUAAUUUGACUGUUAUUACACAAUCAAUAAGUAACAGUUCAUCAAAAGACUCACUAUCUUCUCUAAUUGAAACCUUCUAACUCACUAUCUUCUCUAAUUGAAACCUUCUUGAUCAUAAAUCUAUAUAUUAGAGGUAUAUCCAGUUUUUAUAAUGGAAAAUCAAAGUCUUUCACAAGCCUAGCUGAUGUCUCCUCUGCUUCAUCUAUCAAAGAACUUGCGAAGCCAGAAGAUCCAUACACCAGGAAAUGCAAGAAUCUAUUAGCUCAUAAUAACUUAUUUGAUAAGAAUCACAACCACCAAUUUAAAAGUAAUGGGAGAGGGGCAUCAAAGAAACCGGCCAACUGUGGUCGAAGCGCCAUGGUUUCGGGAAUGACCAUGAAAAGCUGUGAAAUGAAUCACAGAGGGGAUUCCGACUCGAUUGCUUCAUCACAUUUGCAUCAUCUUCCACCUCUACAUCCUCAAGGUAAAAAAUCUCCCAGCAAUGGAUCACCGCCACCACCUCUUCGACGAAACUCCCACCGGCAUUCUUUCUCCUUGUCUGAUCUACAAUGUGUUGCUGCUGCAAGUCCUAACAUAUAACUGUUUUAGCAUUUCAUGGCAGAGAUGUGGACAACAAAUAGUAUUGAAAUUUAACUUCUUUCUUUCUUUUUUCCAUGUUUUGAACCUGGAAGUUGGAAGAAAUUUCUUGUUGUUAAAGUCUUUGGCAGUUAGUUUACUUCUUUUAUCUUGUAGUCUUUGUCGAUUGUACUUGUAGCUUUAGGUAUACCACUUAUGAUGUGUAUUUUGGAGCCUUUAUCUGCAGCUGUACUCUUUCUUUUUCCUUGCUUCCUUUGGCUUGUAGACGGUGACUAGAUUGCUCCACUGUAUCAAACAAAUAUCUAAAUAUAUCUUU
rnacentral:lncRNA from 1 species